rnacentral:rRNA from 1 species
AAAGCGUGCGCAGGCGGUUUUGUAAGACUGUCGUGAAAUCCCCGGGCUCAACCUGGGAAUGGCGAUGGUGACUGCAAGGCUAGAGUUUGGCAGAGGGGGGUAGAAUUCCACGUGUAGCAGCGAAAUGCGUAGAUAUGUGGAGGAACACCGAUGGCGAAGGCAGCCCCCUGGGUCAAAACUGACGCUCAUGCACGAAAGCGUGGGGAGCAAACAGGAUUAGAUACCCUGGU